rnacentral:rRNA from 1 species
GUGGGGAAUAUUGCACAAUGGGCGAAAGCCUGAUGCAGCAACGCCGCGUGAGUGAUGAAGGUCUUCGGAUUUGUAAAGCUCUGUCUUUUGGGACGAUAAUGACGGUACCAAAGGAGGAAGCCACGGCUAACUACGUGCCAGCAGCCGCGGUAAUACGUAGGUGGCGAGCGUUGUCCGGAUUUACUGGGCGUAAAGGGUGCGUAGGCGGAUGUUUAAGUGAGAUGUGAAAUACCCGGGCUUAACUUGGGUGCUGCAUUUCAAACUGGAUAUCUAGAGUGCAGGAGAGGAGAAUGGAAUUCCUAGUGUAGCGGUGAAAUGCGUAGAGAUUAGGAAGAACACCAGUGGCGAAGGCGAUUCUCUGGACUGUAACUGACGCUGAGGCACGAAAGCGUGG